GACGAACGCUGGCGGCGUGCUUAACACAUGCAAGUCGAACGGAAAGGCCCUGCUUUUGUGGGGUGCUCGAGUGGCGAACGGGUGAGUAACACGUGAGUAACCUGCCCUUGACUUUGGGAUAACUUCAGGAAACUGGGGCCAAUACCGGAUAGGAGCUCCUGCUGCAUGGUGGGGGUUGGAAAGUUUCGGUGGUUGGGGAUGGACUCGCGGCUUAUCAGCUUGUUGGUGGGGUAGUGGCUUACCAAGGCUUUGACGGGUAGCCGGCCUGAGAGGGUGACCGGCCACAUUGGGACUGAGAUACGGCCCAGACUCCUACGGGAGGCAGCAGUGGGGAAUAUUGCACAAUGGGCGGAAGCCUGAUGCAGCAACGCCGCGUGCGGGAUGACGGCCUUCGGGUUGUAAACCGCUUUCGCCUGUGACGAAGCGUGAGUGACGGUAAUGGGUAAAGAAGCACCGGCUAACUACGUG
rnacentral:rRNA from 1 species